CAAAAACAUCGCUAAUUGUACUAAAUGGUUAGUCGCAGCUGCUCAAUGGGACACUAAAUAGCCGCAGUACCCUGACUGUGCAAAGGUAGCAUAAUCAAUUGGCUUAUAAUUGAAGUCUGGAAUGAAAGAAAGUACGGGUAAUUGCUGUCUUUUGUGUGUAGUUAGAAGUUAUUUAAUAAGUGCAAACACUUAUAGAUAAAUAUUAGACGAGAAGACCCUAGAAAUUUUUUAAACAGCUAGAACUAGUCUAGUUAAUAUUUUGUUGGGGCGACAAAAUAACAAUUAAACUUAUUUUAAAUAAUUUGAACUAGAUGUAGAGAAAAACUAAAUUACUCUAGGGAUAACAGCAUAAUUUAUAUAAGUUUGUGACCUCGAUGUUGGACUAGGGAUCUUAAUAUUUAGAAGACGUUAAGGAGAGCUCUGUUCGAGCUAUAUCACCCUACAUGAUCU
rnacentral:rRNA from 1 species